GACGAACGCUGGCGGCGUGCUUAACACAUGCAAGUCAGGGGGCGGAGCAAUCCGUCACCGGCGAACGGGUGCGUAACACGUGAGCGACCUGCCCAGGGAUGGGGGAUAGCCGGCCCAACGGCCGGGUAAUACCGCAUACGACGCCGGCUUGAGCACCGGACGUGAAAGCCCGCAAGGGCGUCCGUGGAGGGGCUCGCGGCCUAUCAGCUAGUUGGUGCGGUAACGGCGCACCAAGGCGAUGACGGGUAGCUGGUCUGAGAGGAUGAUCAGCCACACUGGGACUGAGAGACGGCCCAGACUCCUACGGGAGGCAGCAGUGGGGAAUAUUGCGCAAUGGCCGAGAGGCUGACGCAGCGACGCCGCGUGGGGGAUGAC
rnacentral:rRNA from 1 species